UGGAAGUCGAACGAGAAAGUGGAGCAAUCCAUGAGUAAAGUGGCGCACGGGUGAGUAACACGUGACUAAACUACCUUGGAGUGGGGGAUAACUGAGGGAAACCUUAGCUAAUACCGCAUAAYACCUACGGGUCAAAGGAGCAAUUCGCUUGAGGAGGAGGUCGCGGCYGAUUAGCUAGUUGGCGGGGUAAUGGCCCACCAAGGCGAUGAUCGGUAUCCGGCCUGAGAGGGCGCACGGACACACGNUGGAACUGAAACACGGUCCAGACUCCUACGGGAGGCAGCAGA
rnacentral:rRNA from 1 species